GCCUGGGUGGCUCAGUCGGUUAAGCGUCUGACUUCGGCUCAGGUCACGAUCCCGCGCGGUUCGUGGGUUCGAGCCCCGCGUCGGGCC
rnacentral:tRNA from 1 species